CCCACUCGACCACCUUGAUGAAUUCAAUAGGCUCUACAACCUAACAAAGAUCAAUGGUUUCAGUGAAGACGGAUUCAAGCUCCGUUUGUUUCCAUUCUCAUUGAGCGACAAAGCACACAUUAGGGAGAAGAAUCUUCCCUAUGACUCAAUCACCACUUGGGAUGAUUGCAAGAAGGUUUUCCUAUCAAAGUUCUUCUCGAACGCCAGAACUGCAAGACUCAGAAAUGAGAUCUCUGGCUUUUUACAGAAGGCUGGUGAAAGCUUCUAUGAAGCAUGAGAGCGUUUCAAGGGUUAUACCAACCAAUGCCCUCAUCAUGGCUUCACUAAAGCCUCUCUGCUCAGCACUCUUUACAGAGGAGUUCUACCACGCAUCAGAAUGCUUCUGGAUACUGCCAGUAAUGGGAAUUUCCAGAAAAGGGAUGUUGAAGAAGGUUGAGAAUUGGUUGAGAACCUUGCUCAAUCAGAUGGUAAUUACAACGAGGACUGCGAUAGGACCGUCAGAAGCACAACUGACUCUGAUGACAAACACAGGAAGGAGAUUAAAGUGCUGAAUCACAAGCUGGACAUGAUUCUUCUUAGCCAGCAGAAGCAUGUGCACUUCCUUGUUUAUCAAGUCCAAGAUGGGGAGGGUAACCAGUUGGAAGAAGUUAGCUACAUCAACAACAACCAGAGUGGCUACAAAGGUUACACCAACUUCAAAACCAACAACUAGAGUGGCUACAAAGGUUACAACAACUUAAAACCAACAACCCCAACCUCUCCUACCGCAGCACCAACGUUGCUAAUCCACAAGACCAAGUUUAUCCUCCACAGCAACAACAAGGUCAGAACAAACCGUUUGUUCCCUACAACCAAGGUUUUGUUCCUAAGCAGCAAUUUCAGGGGAACUACCAGCCGCAACCACCACCUGGGUUUGCACCUCCGCAAAACCAAGGUCCUGCUGCUCCUGAUGCUGAAAUGAAACAGAUGGUACAACAAUUGCUACAGGGACAAGCAUCUAGCUCCAUGGAAAUUGCUAAGAAAUUAUUUGAAUUGCACCAUAAGCUGGACUGCAGCUACAAUGACCUGAAUGCCAAAGUGGAGGCAUUGAAUACCAAAGUCAGAUACUUAGAAGGCCAAUCAGCAUCUACCUCUGCACCUAAAGUUACAGGACUUCUUGGGAAGUCAAUAUAGAAUCCAAAGGAGUAUGCAACUGCUCACGCCAUCACCAUCUGCCAUGAUCGAGAGCUGCCAACUCGACAUGUCCCUUAUUUAAUCACUAGGGACAUUGAUGUUCAAGAAGGGGAGGCUUUUACUCAGAUUGAAGUCUCUAUUGUUGAAUUCAACAAUUCUGUUGGUUCUCGCCAUCUCAUUCAAUCCACCUCGGAAGAGAAGGCCGCCAUAAUCGAGAGAAUGGUGAAACGAUUCAAACCUACUCCAUUACCCUCACGUGCUCUUCCGUGGAAAUUCAGGAAAGCGUGGAUGGAGAGAUACAAGUCUGUUGCAGCGAAGCAGCUGGACAAGAUUGAAGCAGUGAUGCCACUGAUGGAAGUUCUCAACCUGAUUCUUGAUCCUCACAAAGAUGUAAGAAAUUUUAUACUGGAAAGGAUCAAGAUGUAUCACGACUCAGAUUAUGAAAGUGAUGCCACUCCAUCUCGAGCUGCUGAUAAGAGGAUUGUUCAAGAGAAGUUAGAAAAUCCUGGAUCUUUCACUCUACCAUGUUCCAUUGGGGAAUUAGCUUUCAGCGAUUGUUUGUGCGAUCUCGGAACCUCUGUCAGCCUAAUACCACUCUCUGUGGCAAGAAGGUUAGAGUUUAUUCAGUAUAAACCUUGUGACCUGACUUUGAUCCUUGCGGACAGGUCUUCCAGAAAACCCUUCGGCAUGCUGAAAGAUCUACCAGUCAUGAAUAAUGGAGUAGAAGUGCCUACAGACUUCGUGGUGCUGGAUAUGGAAGUAGAGCAUAAGGAUCCCUUAAUCCUGGGAAGACCCUUCUUAGCUUCAGUGGGAGCAGUGAUAGAUGUCAGGGAAGGGAAAAUAAGUCUCAACCUUGGAAAGCACAUCAAGUUGCAGUUUGACAUCAACAAAACUCCACAAGGGUAAAGAGAAGAUGGAAAAACCUCUGGAAAUGAUAGAGUGAUCUCAGAAGAAGGAUAUGAGACUGAAAGAGUAAAGGAACUUAAUAAGAGGUCUGAUAAGCAAGAUGAAACUAUAGAGAAGCUAGCCCACACUGUUGAGGAACUUAGAAGUAAGUUGAAUCAGUUGCAGAAGGAAGCUCAACCUAAAGGCGGGAUUGACACUAUCCCGAGAAAGAAGUUCACUUCAAGAAGGUCUGAAGAGACAUAUUACCCUCCUGAAGAGAAAGAAGCCUAUUUUGAAGAAAGGGGAAUUGAGUAUUCUGUUGUAUACCUCUCCAGGGAGGACGCUGAGUAUGAUGAUGAUAUUAGAGAGGACUAUGCAGACCCUUUCUAUCAUUCAUUUUCUUCUUAAUAAGUGUGAGGAGUCAAGCUAGAGACUUUAAACAAGCUCACUUGGGAGGAAGUCCCAUGAUUAUCCUUGUAAAUAAUUUUUACUUUCUUGUUAUUUUUGAUAUGUUUUACUUGUGUUUGUGGUUCUCAGGAAUAGAGGAAUAACGUGAAGCUAGAGUAAAAAUUAAAAACUUUUACUCUACAGAUGGCCUAGAGAUCGAGUACAUUGGUCGAGUAUGAGUGAUGUUUAAAACCCAAAAAAAUUUCAAUCAUCAUUUUACUCAACCAACGAAAGCUAUUGAGUCUUACAGAGAGUUUAUCAAGUCUACAGGAGAUUGCGGGAUUUUCUGGGGGGUUUUCAGUAAACAAAGAGUACAAAAUAAAGACAAGAAGACAUUGUGAGACCCACCGCUGACGCCCAUGUCCUCCAUGCAACAGACCAAAGGACAAGAAAUCUCUCCUCAUCUCUUCUCCUCCACUCGACCCCCAUCCCUCUUAACUCGACCUCAUCACCUCGUCAUCUCUUCCAGUCCCAUUAAACUCGACCUCCAUUUCUCAUCCAAACUCAACCAAACUCUCAUCUCUUUUCUCUCAACCACUCGACCUCACCAUCUCUCUUCCUCACGCACUUGAUUCCUCAACGCUCACUCUCAUUCUCACCAAGUACUCGUUUUCAAAUCAUCAUCAUCUUCACCGCUUUGCUCCAUUCACUCGACCGCCGUGAGUUUCUCUCUUCACCAUAGACACUCAAUCGCAAACAAAGAAGAAGGAGAACAAGACUCAACUUCUAAACCGAGUCUAGCUUUGAACUCAUCACCUCGCCUAUUCAAGACCUCCUUCAACACUCGACCACUGAUUACGUUUCACCUCAUCACUCGACUUCACGGCAAGAGCACCUCCUCCUCUCCUCCACCACCGUUCACGCAGCUCCAUGUAGGAUACUCGACCGCAACGCCUUCGUCAUCUUUCUCAUCACUCGACUCGUUCUCUUCACCAUCUCUGAGCCGGUUCUCGUUCACCAAUCACUCGAUUCGCCACAGUCGACCAUCACUGCAACUCAUCUCUCACUAUACUCGACCGCAACUCCUACAUAAACUCAUCGUUUUCACCGCUCAAGCUCCGUCACUUCACUCGACCUUCCAAUAUCACUCGACCAACAAUCCACAAACCGAAAAAAAAAAAUUCAGAACCGGUUAAGAUAUACUCGAUCGGUUUACUCUGUUGGUUUGUGUUUUUGGUUUUGUUGGGCUAACGUAUUAACGUUUAUCUUUGAGUUUCAUUUGUUUUCAGGUUUCAUUAUGAGUAACUACAGUGGAGAAUCCUCAAUUGAUCCUGAUUAUAAUGUAGACGAAGCUGAGUCUUGGUACACUAGACCGGAGAGAGAGCAACAUGUUUACGAGAGCUUCAUGGAUGAAUUUGAACGCUCUGCUGCUCGACGUAAUCAGAGAAGAGCUGAAAUCGCCAGAGGAAAGAGGGCGAUGUCGAGUAGAUAUGAGCUGAUUGAUGAGGACAUCGAAACUGAGUAUGAGCCAGAGUCAUGGUGUAAGGAGACGAAGCUGCAGAACAAACCCGACGAGGUUACAGCGGAGGAGUAUAUCAGAUUUUUUUAGAUGAACGACUUCUGGGGAACGAGGUAUCCCUGCUAUGAGACUUUAGCCCAGCUGGGGUUACUGGAGGAUGUGCAGCAUCUGUUCGAGAAGUGUCAUUUGGAGACACUCAUGGCUUAUCCUUACGCUGCGUAUAAGGAGGAGACAAUCAAGUUUCUUUCCACACUGCAAUUGGAGAUGUAUGAGGGUCUCACGGACUUUGAGCUGGAUACCAUGGGGUUAGGGUUCCUGAUGUUCUCAGUGGAUGAUUAGCGGUAUCAGCUUUUGAUCAAGAAUUCGGAAGAACUGUUUGGUUUCCCUAGUGGAAAGGGAACCAAACCCAGGUUUGACAGGGAGGAGCUUAAGGAUUUGUGGGCUACGAUUGGGAACAAUCUACCGCUAAACUCGGCGCGGUCCAAGAGCAAUCAAAUCCGGAGUCCUGUGAUCCGCUACUUUCAGCGCUCGGUUGCCAACGUUUUCUACUCCAGGGAGUCUACAUGCACCGUAUCUAACACGGACAUGGAGAUGAUAGAUUCCGCGCUUACAGGGAUUCUCCGCCGGACAAAGGGAAAGAAUGUCUUGAGAGGCGAUCUCAACAAUGCACCACCAGUAAUGCCUCUGUUGAUCCACCUGUGUGGAUACAAGAAGUGGGCGUUGACGAACGGUAAGAAAAAGGUGAGAGGAGCACUAUGCGUGGGUGGCGUUGUGACGCCAAUUCUGAAAGCUUGUGGAGUACCGCUCAAAGAACCAAGGUUAACACCGAGAAUGAUGGACUUGGAUCAUUUGCGCCGAUGUGAGUUCUUGGAGUUUGACAUGGUUGGCGACUUUCACCGCUACAGGUUCGAGCAUCCAUCGAUUAGAAUCGCCAACAUUCUUCUCUCCUGCAUUGACGCUACUAGGAUUCUCGAGGGCAAAAACAUUGACUUCAAGCCUGCGCUUGAAGAUCUUUAUUUCGAGGACAGUCCGCCAACUGAGGAGAUUAGUCACACCGAAGGAGCUACAACAGAAGAUGUUGAUGAGACAGAUGAUAUAGAUGAGGCAGAGUUUGAUACGACCAUGUAUCAUUUCAGUGAACAUAUACCUCCAGCGAGGGAAAGCAAGAGUUUGAGCGAAGCUCACAGGAACAACAGCAAGCUGCAGAAGUGGUGCAAGAAACAUGAUAAGUUGCUCGCCAAGUGCCUCAGGGCUAUCAUGUUUCUGAAGGACAAGAUCAGCUGCUCCUCUUCCACUACAGCUAUUCCGUAGGGACAGCUCCCUCAGGACAUGCCCUCGAGGAGAUAUGACGCGCCCGAGCCAAGUCGGCGCAGGCCUGAGCCUAGAGAGCAGGAGAUUCCAUAUGUCCCUGCGAGGCAUUCAUCAUUCGAGCCUCGUGAAUCUGGGAGGAAGAGGAGGACCACGCUCACUCGAUCUAGCAGGAGGAGCAGACGACUUCUGCAGUCUCGUAGUUUACGCGACCGCGGUGCUGACCGCAGCACAAGAAGAGAGGUCGAGUAUCCUCAGAGUUUUGCUGGCCGCCACAGAGCUGAUGAGGUCGAAUACCCACCUGCUAGAGCUGAUACAGAACAGGGCAGUUCGUCUAUGGCCUGGGAGCAAUCACAGGCAGCCAUUGACGACCAACUUCGUUCAUUCUUCGACUGAGGUAAGCGCCUCACUUCACCAUUGUAUUAUAUCAUCUGUUGUGAUUGGAUUUGUCCUGAGUACUCUCUUCCAAGUUUAUUCACACAGUGGACUGUGUGAUUAAGUUUGGGGGAGGGCUCAGGAAGUGUGUGUUGCACUGUGUAUAUAUUUGAGUUUGCAUUCAUCUAAGGCAUAGAAAAACCAAAAAAAUUUAAAAAAUUUCAGAAAAUGAUUUCACAAAAAAAGAGUGUUCAUGUAGUUGCAUUACAUUUAGGAUCGAGUCUAGAGUGUUUCAUUUAGGAUUGUUGCAUAUGCAUAGGGGAUAAUGAUUAGAUAGCCUUGUAAGCAUUUUGGUUCACUGGAUAAACUCAGUGCCUUCGUUGCUAGUUGUCUGUUGCGUAGUCAAUGAAUUUGAAAUAAAACUGAACCAUGCCUAGAUUGCUCUACUCAACCACACUUUCAUGAUCUGAUACCAUUCCCUAUCAAUUUGAACCUGAAUCUGAUCUUUAAUUAUCAUGUCUGCAUCAAAUUUAAACUCAUGGAUACCCUAAAAUACUUGCAUUUUCUUAUUCAUUUUGAUCACUCUUGUUAAUCCAAGUAGCUGACUCUCCUUAUUCGAGCAGUUAACCCAAACCCAAACCUAGACUUUCUUUCAAGCCCUAUAUCACUUGUGAGUGUUUGUGAGGUCUUAUUCCGAUUAAGCUUGGCAGAAAGUGUUAGGUUCGUAACGAUAGAGAUAGUGUCUCAUGUAGUUCUAGUUCACAUUUUUCGGACUAGAUAGGACUAGGUGGGCGCUUAUACUUUGGGUUGGGAUGUUUUUAAAAGAAAAAAAAAGGGGUUGAUUCAUUGAUGAGAAAAGGUAAAAGACUCUAGGUGAAAUAAGCUAAAGAAGCAGAAAAAGUCUAGUAAAGGUUUUGGGAUUUGUAAAGAAAAGAAAGAGUUCUUGUUAUCUAUUGAAGAUCGGCAAAAGCCCUGAGUUUUAAAAUGUUAAAAACAGGAACCUUAGUUGUUAAAGAAAUCCAAAUCCGCUAGAUGUAUCAAAUUGUUGAGAAAGCUUCUCCUAGAGUUAAGAGAAGAAAAAAAAGAAUGAUUAGAAAAAGGACUUAAAAGAUUCAUGAAUGCAAAGGGUAGAGUUAAGUUCUUAUAUUGGGAUUGGAGAUGGGAUUACCAUUAGAGAUUCAUUUGAUAUACUCUGGGUAGAUGAGAUCUUAUCUCUGUAUGCAUAGCUUGAGACUUACCUUUAGCAUUCUACUAAAGCUUAAUCAUUUUUUUGAGAGAUCCCCUGUUACUGAAGCCUGUUCUGUAAGAGACCAUCUUUGUCUCUUGACCUUUUACCAAAUGAGUUCAUUGAUGAUGCAUUGCUUGAUUCACGUUCCAGAGCUAAUGAAUGUUAAAGGGAUUGGUAGAUUUGAAAACAUGUGUAGGUCGAGCAUAUGAGUCGGAUUGAUUAAUAACAAGGCAUGGCUAACGUUUUUGAGUAGAAUUCGAUCAUAUCGCAGCUUAGAGCUAU
rnacentral:sRNA from 1 species